GACGAACGCUGGCGGCGUGCUUAACACAUGCAAGUCGAGCGGUAAGGCCCUUUCGGGGGUACACGAGCGGCGAACGGGUGAGUAACACGUGGGUGACCUGCCCUCAGCUCUGGGAUAAGCCUGGGAAACCGGGUCUAAUACUGGAUAUGACUCCAUGACGCAUGUUGGUGGGGUAGGAAAGCCUUGUGCGGCUGAGGAUGGGCCCGCGGCCUAUCAGCUUGUUGGUGGGGUGAGGCCUACCAAGGCGACGACGGGUAGCCGGCCUGAGAGGGCGACCGG
rnacentral:rRNA from 1 species